GACGAACGCUGGCGGCGUGCCUAAUACAUGCAAGUCGAACGCAGUGGGGACGGGUGAGUAACACGUGGGUAACCUCCCAUCAGAGGGGAUAACACUUGGAAACAGGUGCUAAACCGAUACUGAUGGAUGGACUCGCGGUGUAUUAGCUAGUUGGUGGGGUAACGGCUCACCAGGGCCACGAUUCAUCGCCGGCCGGAGAGGGUGUUCGGCCACAGUGGGACGGAGACACGGCCCAGACUCCUACGGGAGGCAGCAGUAGGGAAUCUUCGGCAAUGGGCGAAAGUCUGACCGAGCAACGCCGCGUGAGUGAAGAAGGUUUUCGGAUCGUAAAACUCUGUUGUUAGAGAAGCGGUAUCUAACCAGAAAGCCACGGCUAACUACGUGCCAGCAGCCGCGGUAAUUC
rnacentral:rRNA from 1 species